rnacentral:misc_RNA from 1 species
UAUGUGGACAAUGCGACACCCUCUGCCAACGGAAUCGCGAUCGCCAACCUUGUCCGAAUUGCCUUGCUAGCUGAAGACCUGAGCUAUCUCGACAAAGCCGAACAAACCCUACAAGCUUUCGACAACGUGAUGGAAAAAACGCCCCAGUCCUGCCCCAGCCUUUUCUCCGCGCUGGAUUGGUUCCGCAAUCAAACCCUGAUCCACACCGAGCUAGCCACGAUCGCCCAACUCGACACCCAGUAUCUUCCCACUGCUGCCUUUGCGAUCGAGUCUGCGUUACCUGCUGACGCUGUUGGUUUAGUGUGUCAGGGGUUGAGUUGCAAAGAACCGGC